AGCGAACGCUGGCGGCAGGCUUAACACAUGCAAGUCGAACGGGCGUAGCAAUACGUCAGUGGCAGACGGGUGAGUAACGCGUGGGAACGUACCUUUUGGUUCGGAACAACCCAGGGAAAC
rnacentral:rRNA from 1 species